GGGACUCUCUCUGUCGUUUCACCUCCCCGGUCUCUCGCAAAUGCUCGCAUAGAAUCGGAGUUACAGCUGGAUGUGGAAAAAAUAACUGAGUUGUUUGGUGGUGCUAUAACGCGGAGCUACAACAGUGGGCAGCUAUCCACCGGUGUAUGACAGAAAGGACAUGCCGCGACCGCCGAUCGACAGGUGUUUGCUAACGCGGAGGUCAAUCGUGGAUCAGGGAAAGCGAAGGCAGGAGCGUGAGGUGAACUGAAUUUCAGGCGAUCCUGCUCAUCACGGCCUCGUCUGAGAUGACAGCUGAACAGCCGACACCGACAGAGGAGAUAACUUCUGUACACAGCACGAAGGUGAAAAGCCCAAAUGUUAAACAUCUGAAAAAAUGCCGCGUGACACAAGCAGGAUGUCGACAACACCACUCAAAAGCACAGCAGAGGUCACACACAAAGCCACAGCCCUACAGACCCAAAGCUCGUAGAGGGAGUCUGGCUCCAAUUUUGCUACAGUAAAGGAAUGAAGUGAAGGAGUGACCACAUCUAGUGGUGAGUCUCCUGCUUUGUUUCUUCUGAAGAAGAUGAAAUAAAAAGAAAAACAGAAACGAAGAUCUUUAAAGAAACUUUUCUUUGCUGUUUGGCAUUGCGUUACAUUUCAGUGCAAUGCAAAUCAUAUGCAGUACUAACUAUAAAAAUCACAAUAUUUCUCAGAUCAGUGGUAUAUAAGAAAUAUGUGUAUGACAUAAAAAGGUUAUUAAGGCACUACAUAAAUGAAUGUAUCUGAUACAAUUAUAAUUUGAUGUUUAUGUUUAUAAGUCAGUUUUUAAUAUGGCCUUAUUCAUUUUACUGGUUUUGAUGGAAUGAAGAACAAGUUUUCAGUCUUCUAUUGUUGUAACUUUGCACUGUAACUGCUAUUGUUUCAUGAAUUUCAGUUUCAAAUAAAGUCACCCAGAGUUAAAGCAUAAAAA
ensembl:lncRNA